rnacentral:rRNA from 1 species
AGCAGUAGCCGCGGUAAUACGAAGGGGGCUAGCGUUGCUCGGAAUGACUGGGCGUAAAGGGCGCGUAGGCGGCGGCCAAAGUCAGGCGUGAAAUUCCCGGGCUCAACCUGGGGGCUGCGUUUGAUACUUGGUUGCUUGAGUGGGGAAGAGGGUCGUGGAAUUCCCAGUGUAGAGGUGAAAUUCGUAGAUAUUGGGAAGAACACCGGUGGCGAAGGCGGCGACCUGGUCCUUUACUGACGCUGAGGCGCGAAAGCGUGGGGAGCAAACAGGAUUAGAUACCCCAGUAGUCCCUGUCUCUUAUAA